GAUGAACGCUAGCUACAGGCUUAACACAUGCAAGUCGCGGGGUAACAUCUGGUAGAGCUUGCUCUUCCAGGAUGACGACCGGCGCACGGGUGAGUAACGCGUAUCCAACCUGGCCCAUACCACGGGAUAGCCCGUCGAAAGGCGGAUUAAUACCGUAUGCUGUCAUUAAGAUGCAUAUAUUGAUGACGAAAGGACUGGCGGUAUGGGAUGGGGAUGCGUCCGAUUAGGUAGUCGGCGGGGUAACGGCCCACCGAGCCGACGAUCGGUAGGGGUUCUGAGAGGAAGGUCCCCCACAUUGGAACUGAGACACGGUCCAAACUCCUACGGGAGGCAGCAGUGAGGAAUAUUGGUCAAUGGACGUAAGUCUGAACCAGCCAAGUAGCGUGCAGGAUGACGGCCCUAUGGGUUGUAAACUGCUUUUAUGCGGGGAUAAAGUGAGGGACGUGUCCCUUUUUGCAGGUACCGCAUGAAUAAGGACCGGCUAAUUCCGUG
rnacentral:rRNA from 1 species